GCAUAAAACUAAUGAGUUAACUGUUGAGACUUGUUGUAAAUAUAUAGACAAAUACAAAAAUAUAUUGUUUUUUCUAUUUUUUCCAUGCAGUCUCUGAUAUAUUGUAUAUGUUUAUUGACAGUUCUGUAGCUGUCAGUGUAGAAGAGCUGCACAUCUGCUAUCAGAUGCAGGCUGGAUAUUCUAUAAAUAAUCUGCUUUCUGCUUUAUUACAUGAAAGGAAUCCCCAUGACAUUAGUACAAUACACUUUUAUAACAACUCGAUUAUGAUUGGAAGUAAGAAAUAUGCACUAGAUGAUGUGUAUUUUGUUAUGUUUACCAUUCUACAUUUAGGCGCUAAUGCUAACGGCUAAUGCUAUGCAGCCAAAAUCUCAUGACGUGAUCUUGGAAAAUGUUUCAUAUAACUCAGAUUUUUAAAGUUAUCAUCCUCCAAUUUUAAAUAGAACAUUAUCAGACUUAAGGCUUUAGCUCUAUUGUGUUUCUAUGCCUAAAGAAGGGCUGCUGGAGCCUGUCCCGCUACCUCGGGCCAAAGGCAGGGAAACACGCUGAACAGGCGGCGAGUCCAUCACAGAGCUAACACAUAUACAAUAGACAGACGAACAAACUCACACUCUCACUAACACCUAUGGGCAAUUUAGAGUUUACAGUUCACCAGGACUUUUGCAGAAACCUGAGCCUGAAGGAACCAAUUCAUUCAACUGUUUUGGACUUCCCAACCCUACAGGACGGUUUGUUGAGCACAUAUGAUUGCUGUUUCGGUGUGCUGCAUUCGCAAUACAAAGUGAUACAAAAUGUAGCAUUUUGUGACACUACAGCGCUACUCAUUGGGAAAAAGUAGCUUAUUAUUGGAAAAAAUUCACUAUUUUGAAAACAGCUGCUCUACUGUCACACUACUCAACACUAGUCAGACUAUAGUGUCACUAUUUGUUGUUAGUUACUCCUCAACUCUGGUAAGAAUGCUGUGUACACAAAUCAUUUUAAUGCAAUGCUUUUGUAGAAUUUUAAAAAGUAUAACUCUGAGACCCUCACAAAAAACAAACAAACUUUUUUUCUGCAAUUAUUUGGCUUAAAUCAUUGUAGUCAUAUAUAAGAAAUGUCAAGUAUUGAUAGCAUUUCACAGAAUCACACUGUAAACAUUCCCAUCCAGAUUUAUCUAGUUUGGCAUGAGCCUGCCCUCAGUUCAAGAAGAUGGCUGAUGUGGUCAUUCAAGCUAAACAGCCCUUGAUCACACCAUCAAGAAGCUUGUUAUGAAACCCGCAAUGACCAUUAUAUUUGGUAUCAAUCUGAAUUUCUCUCAGCUCAGAGAAGAGAGUAUGUGGGCCGGGGUCAGCCAAGGGACAAGAGGAAAGAGAAAGAGGGGAGGCCAGGGCAGAAGAUUAGCAGGAAAAUAAAUGUAACAUGGACAAGAGCUGAAUUAAUAGGAUUAUAGGCUCAUGGAUUUCAAUAUAUCAUCUGCACAAAUAGGAGAGAGUCAAAAAUUUGAGAAGACAAAAGUGGAAAAGGAGGGGGGAAAUCAUUUUAAUGGUUAUUUGUCAAGACUAUGGGACGUUUUGGUGGAAUAUGAUUGCUGUGAAUAACAAGGUUGAAUGUGUGGGGAUUGGUCGGGAGAGGGGGGAAAUAGUCAUGGAAAGUAAUAGUUCUGAGCACAGCAAACUAAAAGAAAAGAUGUAUAUUGCUCACAUCUAUAAGAUAUGUUGUUAAAGGUAAAGUAUGUAAUGUCUGUGCCACUUGGAGCACCAAAUAAAAAUAGCAAAAAUAA